UACGGGGGGAGCAAGCGUUGUUCGGAUUUACUGGGCGUAAAGCGCGCGUAGGCGGGCAUCUAAGUCAGGGGUGAAAUGCCAGGGCUCAACCUUGGAAUUGCCUUUGAUACUGGAUGUCUGGAGUUCGGGAGAGGUGAGUGGAAUUCCGAGUGUAGAGGUGAAAUUCGUAGAUAUUCGGAGGAACACCAGAAGCGAAGGCGGCUCACUGGCCCGAUACUGACGCUGAGGCGCGAAAGCGUGGGGAGCAAACAGG
rnacentral:rRNA from 1 species